rnacentral:rRNA from 1 species
UACGGAGGAUGCGGGCGUUAUCCGGAUUUAUUGGGUUUAAAGGGUGCGCAGGCGGCGUGUCAAGUCAGCGGUAAAAUGUCGGGGCUCAACCCCGGCCGGCCGUUGAAACUGGCGUGCUCGAGUUGGAGAGAAGUAUGCGGAAUUCGUGGUGUAGCGGUGAAAUGCAUAGAUAUAUGGAAGAACACCAGUGGCGAAGGCGGCCGCCUGGCCUGUUGCUGACGCUGAGGCACGAAAGCGUGGGGAGCAAAUAGG